rnacentral:piRNA from 1 species
UAACUGAACUGCAUGGCACGUGCCUUAGAGG